AGUGGACGCUGGCGGUAGGCCUAACACAUGCAAGUCGAACGGCAGCACAGUAGGAGCUUGCUCUUACGGGUGGCGAGUGGCGGACGAGUGAGGAAUACAUCGGAAUCUACUUUUUCGUGGGGGAUAACGUAGGGAAACUUACGCUAAUACCGCAUACGACCUACGGGUGAAAGCAGGGGAUCUUCGGACCUUGCGCGAUUGAAUGAGCCGAUGUCGGAUUAGCUAGUUGGCGGGGUAAAGGCCCACCAAGGCGACGAUCCGUAGCUGGUCUGAGAGGAUGAUCAGCCACACUGGAACUGAGACACGGUCCAGACUCCUACGGGAGGCAGCAGUGGGGAAUAUUGGACAAUGGGCGCAAGCCUGAUCCAGCCAUACCGCGUGGGUGAAGAAGGCCUUCGGGUUGUAAAGCCCUUUUGUUGGGAAAGAAAAGCAGCAGGUUAAUACCCCGCUGUUCUGACGGUACCCAAAGAAUAAGCACCGGCUAACUUCGUG
rnacentral:rRNA from 1 species